GAUCACAGCCUGAGCGGUGACGCCUUCCCUUACAUGCCUUUUCAGUCGUUGGCGCAAGAGCAACAUCAUAGCCUUGGCCGUUUGCGGGUUUCCUGUAUUGCAUACCUACCCAAAGGAAUUCGGAUGUCAUAACGUUCAGCAUUCUCCUAGUGCUGCCCCUCAAGGGUGCGGUACAAGGUGAACAACGAAGGCGAAUUCGUGUUCUAAGACAGUCGCGACGUGUGCUGUUGUCUUGGCCCAUGAACUCCAGCCUGAGCUUUCGGAUGCAGAAUACCAAGAGGGCAAGGGGUAUUCGCCUCUGUAUGCCCGUAAUCAGCGUUAAUCGCUCGCAUCGAACGACUGCUGUUGUCGUCUCGAGAAGUCAUGUCUCUCAGGCAUGUCGUCUUCGAGCGGCGACGGCGUCUGUGAGGAAUGCUACCUGGUUGAU
rnacentral:misc_RNA from 1 species